rnacentral:rRNA from 1 species
AGCAGCCGCGGUAAUUCCAGCUCCAAUAGCGUAUAUUAAAGUUGUUGCAGUUAAAAAGCUCGUAGUUGAAUUUCGAGAUCGGUUUAUUGGUCGUGCUAUUGUACGUACUGGUAUUACCGGUUUCUCCUUUCUGACGAACCUUAAUGCCAUUAAUUUGGUGUUUUGGGAAAUCAGGACUGUUACUUUGAAAAAAUUAGAGUGUUUAAAGCAGGCUCACGCUUGAAUACAUUAGCAUGGAAUAACGGAAUAGGACGUUUGAUUCUAUUUUGUUGGUUUCUAGGAUCGACGUAAUGAUUAAUAGGGAUAGUUGGGGGCAUUAGUAUUCAAUUGUCAGAGGUGAAAUUCUUGGAUUUAUUGAAGACUAACUACUGCGAAAGCAUUUGCCAAGGAUGUUUUCAUUAAUCAAGAACGAAAGUUAGGGGAUCGAAGACGAUCAGAUACCGUCGUAGUCUUAACCAUAAACUAUGCCGACUAGGGAUCGGAUGAUGUAAUUUUUAAUGUACUC